AAAAAAAAAAAAAAAAAAAAAAAAACUGUCCUUCAUUGUCAAUUCCAGUGCUGACAAGUAAGGACUCGACGAUGAGGUGGAUCGCUUUGACUUUCUUGUUGUUGUCAUCCUUGAUGGUGGCGACAGAAGCGCGGCUCCCAGCCAAAAUACCGCCUACAUUUCCUACACGCGGGCCUACAAUCAAACCGAUCCCAUGCAACUUCCCGUUCCCACCGUGUCCUCAUCAUCUUGCAACCAUCGAGAAGAUCAAUAAGCGCGUGUAAGGAGGACUCCGGAAGGCC